GUGGGGAAUUUUGGACAAUGGGCGAAAGACUGAUCCAGCCAUGCCGCGUGCAGGAUGAAGGCCUUCGGGUUGUAAACUGCUUUUGUACGGAACGAAAAGACUCCUUCUAAUAAAGGGGGUCCAUGACGGUACCGUAAGAAUAAGCACCGGCUAACUACGUGCCAGCAGCCGCGGUAAUACGUAGGGUGCAAGCGUUAAUCGGAAUUACUGGGCGUAAAGCGUGCGCAGGCGGUUAUAUAAGACAGAUGUGAAAUCCCCGGGCUCAACCUGGGAACUGCAUUUGUGACUGUAUAGCUAGAGUACGGUAGAGGGGGAUGGAAUUCCGCGUGUAGCAGUGAAAUGCGUAGAUAUGCGGAGGAACACCGAUGGCGAAGGCAAUCCCCUGGACCUGUACUGACGCUCAUGCACGAAAGCGUGGGGAGCAAACAGGAUUAGAUACCCCUGUAGUCC
rnacentral:rRNA from 1 species